AUUUAGGUACAAUCCUUCUAAGGAUGGGCCUCUCGUUUCCAUCUUGGGUUCAGCUUGAAAUCAAAGUGAGUCCAGUUAUGUUUCCAAGCUCUGUGUAAUCCACACAGCUGCCAGGCCUAUGAGUGUUGGACUGCGCUACUUCUAAAUCUGGCCAGCAAAUCAACACAAACCCAAGCACCCAUCUGAUAAAGUUACAGAAGGCAACUCAGAUUCACAAGCCCCACCAGACCCCCACUGAAUAACACAUCGUCUGGCAACAGGAGGCGUUUGAUUACAUUUGGAAGGAAUGCCUGCAUCAACUCCAGUUGUCCCUGAAUUGUAACUGAUGGGCCUCACGUGUUGCAGCCAACAGUUUGCCUUCACCCACUCCCCUCUCUGCAAUGAACCUUUCUCUGGGAAAACAAGAAACCUACGUGCCAUCCUGAGUGACAGACGACAGGAGCUGUGAUCCUGCAGCUCAUCCCAGGCAUGAAAUCUCAAUGAAUGUGUCAGCUUGUGCCUGUCUCCACAGAUGAAGGAUUCCUUGAGGGAACAUAUUAAAUGGAAGCUGGAUCAAGUGAUGUCACAGAGGUAUUGUCAACUCAGCACUUUCAGGGUACCAGAGCUAUGGCUGUUUGUGCUUUGCAGGAUUUCAAGAGGAAGUCCCAUCACUCUCCUCCAAUUCCCCUUCCUCCGUCAUGCCCUACAUUGGGGCAUCUUUAUGAGGACUGCCUUUGUCUUAUUUAUUGCAAGCUUUUAAAAAAUUAUUGGAACACAAAUGCUUUCUUUGCAAUGCAACAGAUUUCAGUUGCAAAUGGAUUAAAACAUGAUACCUGUGCUAAAGUCCUUGAGGGAAAAGGACUAGGGAUCUCUGUGCUGAGAGACAAAAUUUGGUCAAGGACUCUUCUCUGAAAACCCUGGGGAGCCAAUGGUGGGAUGUUUGUCCUUAAAUGAUAUGGAAAGAGCACCUAGCCCAACCCAUUUCUCUUACCGAGAGGAAACUGAUACUCAGAGGGAGCAAGCAAGGCCAAGGUUUACACAGCCAGCAGCAACAGCCUCUGCAACUCCAUGGCCAGGGCUUAUAACUCUAUCAGACCUGGAGAUAAAGACAAAAACUGGCCUUCUAUCUUGGCAUGGAUCCACUUAUCCUGGCUUUUCAUCACUGCUUGUUAAUAAAUAUCCAUAGGUUGAGUCCACCGGAAGAUGUUUAUUCUGACAAAAACCAGAGAUGAGAAACUUGGAAUGCUCUAAACAUUGCCUGGAAAACUUAUUUGCGGUUAAGAGAUCUUAGUGUAUCUUUACUUGGUUAUGGUUAUAGACCAGAUAAGCAAGGCUUAAAAACAAAUUAUUCCUUCCCUACUUCCAACUUCAUUCUUGUUAGCACUCUAAAUUUCCGUGCUGGUGACUCUGAGGUGCUAUUGGUCCCUGACAUUAAGAAAUGCAGUUAGCCCAAACUGAGUUCCAAACCAAAGUAACUGAGAAAAUGCUGGAGUAUUUAUUAGAGCAAAAAGGAAGCUUAGUAAUGCUCUAGACCAUAUUCUUCACCUUAAAGAUGAAUAUACUGGGGCUGAGAGAGGUUAAUCCUGGGUUGCUCAGUACAUUAAUGGACUACAAACCACUGAUUUCACCAACCAUGUGGAAGGAAGUUCCUUCCAUUUGACAAUUAUAACACAUCUCAGGUAAUUUUUAUGAAUAAGAAAUGGAUUGUGCCCAUCUCCAGGGAGCUGAAUGCUUAUUGAAAUCUGGGCUUAAUUAAUACAUGGACAUCUGCAUGAGGCAUGGAUCAUGAGGUAUCCUCACCAUUUUUUUGUGUGUGUGUGUGAUACUCAGGCUUGAACUCAGGGUCUACACCGUG